rnacentral:rRNA from 1 species
ACAGAGACUGCAAGCGUUAUUCGGAUUCACUGGGCGUAAAGGGUGCGCAGGUGGCUAUGUGUGUUAGGUGUGAAAUUCCGGAGCUCAACUCCGGAGCUGCGCCUAAAACUACAUGGCUAGAGCAUUGGAGAGGGUAGCGGAAUUCACGGUGUAGCAGUGAAAUGCGUAGAUAUCGUGAGGAACACCAGAGGCGAAGGCGGCUACCUGGACAAUUGCUGACACUCAGGCACGAAAGCGUGGGGAGCCAAAGG